GAUUUCUGGUUGGAUACACCUAGCCCGCCACGGUUUCGUGUGUGAGUGCUGGUUUGUGUAUCUACCAUCCUUCUAGUACUAGAUACUUGAGCAAUCUUGAAUCUAGAGCUAGAUCUUUUACUUUGAACAAAUUUGAGCGUUUCAAGCAGGCAUUUGCUAUGAAAACAUUAGCAUGGAAUAAUAAUUUAGGACUUCGGUUCUAUUUUGUUGGUUUCUAGAACUGCAGUAAUGAUUGAUAGGGAUAGUUGGGGGUGCUAGUAUUCAGUGGCCAGAGGUGAAAUUCUCGGAUUCACUGAAGACUAACUUAUGCGAAAGCAUU
rnacentral:rRNA from 2 species